CGCGAUUUCAUGUUAACAUCGCCCUCUAUCAACAUAUGUACCGUAUACAAAAUGAUAUACUUGCAAUUCAUACAAAAUAAUCAAUCUAAAAUAUUAAGAUAAGUGACUUGCAAUUCAUACCAUAUUGCACAGAUUAAUAUCUACAUGCAAACACGCUAAAAUCUAUUUUCUUAACUCAAAUUCUUAUCAACAUUAUCUCUAUUCAUAUAUAUGACCCUAUAUAUAUUCAUAUGCAUUUAAAUAGACA
rnacentral:lncRNA from 1 species